rnacentral:lncRNA from 1 species
GGCAAUUCUACUUCUUCAAAAAUUGUUCCCACAGCAAUCAAUGGAAAACCUAGAGUGGUCUGUCUUGGAGAAGAGGCACUGUGUGUUUCUCUCCUUCCCUCUCUAUCCCUUUCCCUGUUCCCACUCUGCCUGAGUCAGAGGAGCCUACGUUUCCAAUUAGAAGUCAGCGGCAGAGCCGAGCAGCUGUUCAGAAAUGUCCAAGCGGAUGACAAAUGGAGCUCAUGGCGUGGAUGGAGUUAAUGGCGGAUUUGGAAAUUCUAUGGACACCUUAAACUCAACUUGUCUUGAUGAGAUAACUGUGUUAUGUGUAUGGGAGGCACAGAUGUCCUUGUGAGAAGUAAACAAGAGAAACUGAUACAGAGGAGAAGCCCAAGUGAGCCUGCAGGAAGACUCGAGUGAUGUGCCACAAGCCAAGGAGAGCAGCAGCCUCUAAAAACAGGAAGAAGCAAGAAAAGAAUUCUAUCCGAGAGCCUCCAGAGGAAUUUGAUGAUGCCCCGAGUUUGGUCCUGUGGUUGUAAUUUUAGACUUUUAGCUUCAGAGAUGAGAUGAUACAUUUUUUUUUUUUUUUUUUAGUUUUAUGACACUGAAUUUAUGGUAACUUUUUACAGCAGCCAAAACUAACUAACACGCAUAUACUUCUAUCAUACUAUCAUCACCACCUAUUCACCAUGUUUAUUAUGCGUUGUUG